UACGUAGGUGGCAAGCGUUGUCCGGAUUUAUUGGGUUUAAAGGGUGCGUAGGCGGCUUUGUAAGUCAGUGGUGAAAUAUGGCAGCUCAACUGUCAGGGUGCCAUUGAUACUGCGGAGCUUGAGUACAGAUGAGGUAGGCGGAAUUGACGGUGUAGCGGUGAAAUGCUUAGAUAUCGUCAAGAACACCGAUAGCGAAGGCAGCUUACUAGGCUGUAGCUGACGCUGAGGCACGAAAGUGUGGGGAUCAAACAGG
rnacentral:rRNA from 1 species